UGGAACAAAUAAAAGAGGGGUUUUGAAGCCAACAAAAAGCGACAGUGAGUGAGUGUGACGCAACCCAACACGUUCAUUUCCGAUCCCUAAACCCCUUACACUUGCACCUUUUUCUAUGUCGCCACAUUUGCAUGCAUUUUUCACAUCCCCAUUCACUUUCUUACUCUCUUACCCAUUUUUCAACUUCGUUCCUAUCAUCCCAUAUCUUAGUGCCCAAGAAAUCGGAGAAAAACAAAUUAAAGACGGUAUCCAUACGUACAAGGAACAAUAUGCAAUCGAUAAAAGAUUCGAGACACCAGAUAAGAUGUAAUGGCGUGAUCUACUUGUUACAAGUUGAGAAUCGUAACACCGGCUAAAUAAGAGAUGCAGGACAGGAGAUACCAUGUUGAGCGUGCUGGAGACUCUUGGAACGUGAAGAUCUACCUUUAGGAUAUUCUUUUUUAGUGUUUUGUAUAUGUAUAUAGUAGUGUUCUCCAUCUUGUAUAUAACUUAUAUUUUGUCCCUCUUAGAGGUUGACUUUGGGAGAAAACAGGUUUUGUAUUUUGUCUUCUGGAUAUAGUUGGGUUCUAUAUAUAUGUAUAUCUAUCUUCUGGCUGGUCUUUACUUCACAGGUCAAGUUAAGAGCUUGCUACUUGUAUCUUUUUGGAACUCCAUGUAUAUAUGUACAUUUCCCUUA